UAAGCAGCUGAACUCAGAGCACUUUGUGCAUCCCUACAAGUGCAAGUACACCUCAGACUCCUUGACAGCCAGCGAACUCAUGGGCCCAGUGGGACAACGUUAUUAUUCUAGUCCUCUGGAUCAACACUUGUAACAAUCACUGCUGUUGGGGAGACAUCGAAUAGAUGUCUAGCUUGACUCCCUAUACUGAGGAUCCCACGUGAGUUCCUGGGCCAGGCCCCAACCAGAGAAGGCUGAUAUCUGUAUCCCUCAUCCACCUCUCAGAUAUUCAAGGUCAGCCAGGAAUAAUGAUGGCAAUGGCAGCUUGGGUCUCAGGCACUACGCCUCGCUCUGGGUGGCUCAGCCCGAUAGCACCAGGUUCCACUUCAAUAGCUCUCACCAGGACUUUGCACGAGCCAGCUUCCCAUCUGCACAGUGGACACAUUAGUCCAGUCCUUACCACCAAUCACUGAGGAGUAAACAGAAGGAACUCACAGCAGGCUUGCCCCACUGCAGCCCCUCCCCCACCCACAGCACCACUGCUAACAGAGGUGUACAGACACAGUGGCUAAAGACAUCGUAAGAGGCCAGCUCAACAAUGAACACAGAGCACCUUCGUAUGAUUCUAGGCAUCACCUUGGGCUGUGCCCAGGCCCUGGGGGACACAGCAUCCCCUGGUGCUGAGCAAAAGGAGAUAAGCAGUUGUGUCCCCCCACCAUGCUACUUCCCACGCUCCUUACCUGAGAGCACCGUGAAGACCGCAGCAAAGGCAUUGAGCUUCAGCCCGUCUAUGACGCUGCUGGAGUGGACGAGCUCAAGACACAUGAGACUGAAGCCGACCACCAGCAGAAGGAUGUAGAGCACCUCAGAGACCACCGACAGCCACAGCACCCCUGGAGAGACAGGACUCUGAGCAUGAUGUCACUGAGAUAGUCCAGGACGGGAGGUCACAGGGUUCCAGUGAGAAAAAUCACCAGUUCCGGCCCUUCCCGAAGGACGCUGCCCCUCCAGCCCUUCUAGUGGUUUGGUGUGUCUUCUGGGUUGCCACAGUUUCUUCCCCAUAUCAGCCCACCUUGGGCUGCUAACAUUGCUAGCUUUCCUGUCUGUGGAGCAGUGAGCUGUGCACAGAUAGCCUGGUCCCCAUUUGAGCACAGGCCUGGAAACCUGGUGACCCUAAAGGACGGAAGGUGUUCGGCCAUGCCUCCUGGGCCCCUGGCUCCUGUUGCAGCUACAGCCUCCCACAACUCUCCCUCCCCCCAGAAGUGUGUAGCCAUCGGUCAUGUAGGCAAUGCUCCAAGCUCCUAAUAUCUAGUCUGGACUCCACCCCCACAGUUACCUGGCAACAGCCAGGAUGGCCCAAGCAACUAUAAAAGGAGCUGUUUGCCCCUCCUCGUUCUCUUGCUAUCUUACCUCUUAUUCUCUUGCUCUGACUCUUGCUCCCUUGCUCCCCUUCUCUCUGCCUCCCCCCCCCCCCCAAUCCACAUGGCCCUGGCUAGCCUCUGCUUCUCUACUCUCUCCCUUUCUACAAUAAACGUCUUAAAACCA